rnacentral:rRNA from 1 species
AAUCAACGCUGGCGGCGUGCCUAACACAUGCAAGUCGCACGAGAAAGUGGAGCAAUCCAUGAGUACAGUGGCGCACGGGUGAGUAACACGUGACUAACCUACCCUCGAGUGGGGAAUAACCUCGGGAAACCGGGGCUAAUACCGCAUAACAUCUUCUGGUUGAGAUACCGGUUGAUCAAAGCAGUAAUGGGCUUGAGGAGGGGGUCGCGGCUGAUUAGCUAGUUGGUGGGGUAACGGCCCACCAAGGCGAUGAUCAGUAGCCGGCCUGAG